AGAGUUUGAUCCUGGCUCAGAGUGAACGCUGGCGGCAGGCCUAACACAUGCAAGUCGAGCGGCAGCGCGGGGCAACCUGGCGGCGAGCGGCGGACGGGUGAGGAAUGCAUCGGAAUCUACCCUGUCGUGGGGGAUAACGUAGGGAAACUUACGCUAAUACCGCAUACGUCCUACGGGAGAAAGCGGAGGACCUUCGGGCUUCGCGCAGAUAGAUGAGCCGAUGUCGGAUUAGCUAGUUGGCGGGGUAAAGGCCCACCAAGGCGACGAUCCGUAGCUGGUCUGAGAGGAUGAUCAGCCACACUGGGACUGAGACACGGCCCAGACUCCUACGGGAGGCAGCAGUGGGGAAUAUUGGACAAUGGGCGCAAGCCUGAUCCAGCCAUUCCGCGUGAGUGAAGAAGGCCUUCGGGUUGUAAAGCUCUUUCAGCUGGAGUGAAACGGUGCGCUCUAACAUAGCGCGCUAAUGACGGUACCAGCAGAAGAAGCACCGGCUAACUACGUGCCAGCAGCCGCGGUAAUACGUAGGGUGCGAGCGUUAAUCGGAAUUACUGGGCGUAAAGCGUGCGCAGGCGGAUUGUUAAGCAAGAUGUGAAAUCCCCGGGCUUAACCUGGGAAUGGCAUUUUGAACUGGCAGUCUAGAGUGCGUCAGAGGGGGGUGGAAUUCCACGUGUAGCAGUGAAAUGCGUAGAGAUGUGGAGGAACACCGAUGGCGAAGGCAGCCCCCUGGGAUGACACUGACGCUCAUGUACGAAAGCGUGGGUAGCAAACAGGAUUAGAUACCCUGGUAGUCCACGCCCUAAACGAUGUCAACUGGUUGUUGGGGGAGUGAAAUCCCUUAGUAACGAAGCUAACGCGUGAAGUUGACCGCCUGGGGAGUACGGUCGCAAGAUUAAAACUCAAAGGAAUUGACGGGGACCCGCACAAGCGGUGGAUGAUGUGGAUUAAUUCGAUGCAACGCGAAAAACCUUACCUACCCUUGACAUGUCCGGAAUCCUGCAGAGAUGCGGGAGUGCCCGAAAGGGAAUCGGAACACAGGUGCUGCAUGGCUGUCGUCAGCUCGUGUCGUGAGAUGUUGGGUUAAGUCCCGCAACGAGCGCAACCCUUAUCAUUAGUUGCUACGCAAGGGCACUCUAAUGAGACUGCCGGUGACAAACCGGAGGAAGGUGGGGAUGACGUCAAGUCCUCAUGGCCCUUAUGGGUAGGGCUUCACACGUCAUACAAUGGUCGGUACAGAGGGUUGCCAAGCCGCGAGGUGGAGCCAAUCCCAGAAAGCCGAUCGUAGUCCGGAUUGUUCUCUGCAACUCGAGAGCAUGAAGUCGGAAUCGCUAGUAAUCGCGGAUCAGCAUGUCGCGGUGAAUACGUUCCCGGGUCUUGUACACACCGCCCGUCACACCAUGGGAGUGGAAUCUGCCAGAAGUAGGUAGCCUAACCGCAAGGAGGGCGCUUACCANCGGUGGGUUUCAUGACUGGGGUGAAGUCGUAACAAGGNACCAAGGGCAAUUCNUAACUC
rnacentral:rRNA from 1 species